rnacentral:lncRNA from 1 species
GAAGAGUUGAAUGCAUUACAGAGAAGUGAGAAAGAUCAAAGGACACAAAAACAUGGGGAUACGUAGUGACCCUCAUCUCCUCUUCCUGUUUCUCAUCAAAAUAGUGAAUUUCUGUACUUGGAGACCUCUCAAAUGAAAUUCUGUUCAAUUCCAUUUUACCUAAAGUAAACAUGGUUUAGUGAAUUUCUCUCCAUUUUAGAGUCUGUGGAAUCAAAGAAUACUAAGGAAGUGUCUGGAGAAAGCUAUUCCAAGUUCUGCAGUGCACAGCAGCCAGCAACUCCUGGUGGCCAGCAGCUGCCUCCAACAACCUCCUCAAGCAGUUUUGUAGCAGAGUGCUUCUGAUGAGACAUUUCUCUGUGAACAGCUUUCUGGCAAUUUCUGUAAUUCCAGCAAGUCCUUUGGGUGUGUCAACAAAGAGAACUUGCUGUCCUUCAGUGAACUAUGGCCAUGCAUCCCCAGCAAAAGAAGCAAUAAGGUACUCUAAUUCUUUGCCAUCUCUGCUUUUAAGAUAAAAA